rnacentral:rRNA from 1 species
UACGAAGGGGCGAGCGUUGUUCGGAAUUACUGGGCGUAAAGGGCGCGCAGGCGGCUCUGAAAGUCAGAUGUGAAAGCCCCGGGCUUAACCUGGGAACUGCAUUUGAUACUCUGGAGCUUGAGUACGGGAGAGGAUAGUGGAAUUCCCAGUGUAGAGGUGAAAUUCGUAGAUAUUAGGAAGAACACCAGUGGCGAAGGCGGCUCACUGGAGCU